GAAAAGAAACCAACAGGGAUUGCCCUAGUAACGGCGAGUGAAGCGGCAACAGCUCAAAUUUGAAAUCUGGCUUCGGCCCGAGUUGUAAUUUGCAGAGGAUGUUUUUGGCGCGGUGCCUUCCGAGUUCCCUGGAACGGGACGCCACAGAGGGUGAGAGCCCCGUAUGGUUGGACACUAAGCCUGUGUAAAACUCCUUCGACGAGUCGAGUAGUUUGGGAAUGCUGCUCUAAAUGGGAGGUAAAUCUCUUCUAAAGCUAAAUACCGGCCAGAGACCGAUAGCGCACAAGUAGAGUGAUCGAAAGAUGAAAAGCACCUUGAAAAGGGGGUUAAACAGUACGUGAAAUUGUUGAAAGGGAAGCGCUUAUGACCAGACUUGUGCCGUGCGGCUCAUCCGGGGUUCUCCCCGGUGCACUCCGCACGGCUCAGGCCAGCAUCGGUUUUCGUUGGGGGAUAAGAACUGUAGGAACGUGGCCCCUUUCGGGGGGUGUUAUAGCCUAUGGUACGAUACCCUGGCGGGGACCGAGGACCGCGCUUCGGCAAGGAUGCUGGCGUAAUGGUCAUCAGCGACCCGUCUU
rnacentral:rRNA from 1 species